CACGUAGGGGGCGAGCGUUGUCCGGAUUUAUUGGGCGUAAAGAGCUCGUAGGCGGCUCAGUAAGUCGGGUGUGAAAACUCCAGGCUCAACCUGGAGACGCCACCCGAUACUGCUGUGGCUAGAGUCCGGUAGGGGAGCAUGGAAUUCCUGGCGUAGCGGUGAAAUGCGCAGAUAUCAGGAGGAACACCAGUGGCGAAGGCGGUGCUCUGGGCCGGAACUGACGCUGAGGAGCGAAAGCUAGGGGAGCAAACGGG
rnacentral:rRNA from 1 species